rnacentral:rRNA from 1 species
ACGCACGCUGGCGGCGUGCUUGACCCCUGCCAGUCGAACGGAAAGGCCUGCUUUCCCUUGUGGAUUGCGGGUACUCGAGUGGCGAACGGGUGAGUAACACGUGAGUGAUCUGCCCCCAACUUGGGUAUAAGCCUGGGAAACUGGGUCUAAUUCCCGAUAGGACUGCAGGGUGGUGCCUGUGGUGGAAAACGAUUUUCUAGUGGUUGGGGAUGAGCUCGCGGCCUAUCAGCUUGUUGGUGGGGUAAUGGCCUACCAAGGCGGCGACGGGUAGCCGGCCUGAGAGGGUGGACGGCCACAUUGGGACUGAGAUACGGCCCAGACUCCUACGGGAGGCAGCAGUGGGGAAUAUUGCACAAUGGGCGGAAGCCUGAUGCAGCGACGCCGCGUGGGGGAUGACGGCCUUCGGGUUGUAAACUCCUUUCGACCGCGAGGAAGCCACCUGGUUGGAAGGGUGGUGACGGUAGUGGUAGAAGAAGCACCGGCUAACUACGUG